UGAGGAAUAUUGGACAAUGGGCGCAAGCCUGAUCCAGCCAUGCCGCGUGCAGGAAGAAGCAUCUAUGGUGUGUAAACUGCUUUUGUACGGGAAGAAACACUCCUACGUGUAGGAGCUUGACGGUACCGUAAGAAUAAGGAUCGGCUAACUCCGUGCCAGCAGCCGCGGUAAUACGGAGGAUCCAAGCGUUAUCCGGAAUCAUUGGGUUUAAAGGGUCCGUAGGCGGUUUAAUAAGUCAGUGGUGAAAUCUGGUCGCUCAACGAUCAAACGGCCAUUGAUACUGUUAGACUUGAAUUACUGGGAAGUAACUAGAAUAUGUAGUGUAGCGGUGAAAUGCUUAGAUAUUACAUGGAAUACCAAUUGCGAAGGCAGGUUACUACCAGUU
rnacentral:rRNA from 1 species